ACUAUCUUCGGAUAGUACAUUUGUCAAUUUUAACAAUACAGAGAAGAUUAGCAUUGUCCUUGCAUAAAGAUGACACGCUUUACAAAGAGAUUUACAGUUUUUUU
rnacentral:snRNA from 25 species